rnacentral:rRNA from 1 species
UAACCUGCCCAAGAGAUCGGGAUAACACCUGGAAACAGAUGCUAAUACCGGAUAACAACAGAUGAUGCCUAUCAACUGUUUAAAAGAUGGUUCUGCUAUCACUCUUGGAUGGACCUGCGGUGCAUUAGCUAGUUGGUAGGGUAACGGCCUACCAAGGCGAUGAUGCAUAGCCGAGUUGAGAGACUGAUCGGCCACAUUGGGACUGAGACACAGCCCAAACUCCUACGGGAGGCAGCAGGG